GAUGAACGCUGGCGGCGUGCUUAACACAUGCAAGUCGAACGGAAAGGCUCCUGCUUGCCGGGGUACUCGAGUGGCGAACGGGUGAGUAACACGUGGGUGAUCUGCCCUGCACUUCGGGAUAAGCCUGGGAAACUGGGUCUAUUACCGGAUAGGACGAUGGUUUGGAUGCCAUUGUGGAAAGUUUUUGCGGUGUGGGAUGAGUUCGCGGCCUAUCAGCUUGUUGGUGGGGUAAUGGUCUACGAAGGCGUCGCCGGGUAGCCGGCCUGUGAGGGUGGACGGCGACAUUAGGACUGAGGUACGCACCAGACGCCUACGGGAGGCAGUAGUGGAGAGUAUUGCACAGUGGGGGCAAGCCUGAGACAGCGACGCCGCGUGGGGGAUGACGGCUUACGGGGUGUGAACACCUGUGUCAAGGGACGUAGCGGAAGUGACGGUACCUGGAGAAGAAGCAACGGCUAACUACGUG
rnacentral:rRNA from 1 species